rnacentral:rRNA from 1 species
GAUGAACGCUGGCGGCGUGCCUAAUACAUGCAAGUCGAGCGAACGGACGAGAAGCUUGCUUCUCUGAUGUUAGCGGCGGACGGGUGAGUAACACGUGGAUAACCUACCUAUAAGACUGGGAUAACUUCGGGAAACCGGAGCUAAUAUCGGAUAAUAUUUUGAACCGCAUGGUUCAAAAGUGAAGGACGGUCUUGCUGUCACUUAUAGAUGGAUCCGCGCUGCAUUAGCUAGUUGGUAAGGUAACGGCUUACCAAGGCAACGAUGCAUAGCCGACCUGAGAGGGUGAUCGGCCACACUGGAACUGAGACACGGUCCAGACUCCUACGGGAGGCAGCAGUAGGGAAUCUUCCGCAAUGGGCGAAAGCCUGACGGAGCAACGCCGCGUGAGUGAUGAAGGUCUUCGGAUCGUAAAACUCUGUUAUUAGGGAAGAACAUAUGUGUAAGUAACUGUGCACAUCUUGACGGUACCUAAUCAGAAAGCCACGGCUAACUACGUG